rnacentral:rRNA from 1 species
AGAGCGAACGCUGGCGGCAGGCCUAACACAUGCAAGUCGAGCGCGUGUAGCAAUACACGAGCGGCAGACGGGAGAGUAACACGUGGGAACGCGCCCUUCGGUUCGGAAUAACUCAGGGAAACUUGAGCUAAUACCGGAUACGCCCUUACGGGGAAAGAUUUAUUGCCGAAGGAACGGCCCGCGUCCGAUUAGCUAGUUGGUGAGGUAACGGCUCACCAAGGCGACGAUCGGUAGCUGGUCUGAGAGGAUGACCAGCCUCACUGGGACUGAGACACGGCCCAGACUCCUACGGGAGGCAGCAGUGGGGAAUAUUGGACAAUGGGCGCAAGCCUGAUCCAGCCAUGCCGCGUGGAUGAUGAAGGCCUUAGGGUUGUAAAGUCCUUUAACGGGGAAGAUAAUGACGGUACCGUAGAAUAAGCCCGGCUAACUCCGUGCCAGCAGCCGC